rnacentral:rRNA from 1 species
CCUACGAGGGGCUGCAGUGGGGAAUAUUGGGCAAUGGAGGAAACUCUGACACAGCAACGCCGCGUGAAUGAUGACGGUCUUCGGAUUGUAAAGUUCUUUUCUUAGGGAAGAAGAAAGUGACGGUACCUUAGGAAUAAGCCUCGGCUAACUACGUGCCAGCAGCCGCGGUAUUACGUAGGAGGCAAGCGUUAUCCGGAAUGACUGGGCGUAAAGGGUGCGUAGGUGGUUUGAUAAGUUGGUAGCGUAACUCCGAGGCUCAACCUCGGCACUACUACCAAAACUGUCGGACUUGAGUGCAGGAGGGGCAACUGGAAUUCAUAGUGUAGCGGUGGAAUGCGUAGAUAUUAGGAGGAACACCAGUGGCGAAGGCGAGUUGCUGGACUGUAACUGACACUGAGGCACGAAAGCGUGGGGAGCAAACAGGAUUAGAUACCCCAGUAGUC